CCUACGGGAGGCAGCAGUGGGGAAUAUUGGGCAAUGGGCGCAAGCCUGACCCAGCAACGCCGCGUGAAGGAAGAAGGCUUUCGGGUUGUAAACUUCUUUUCUCAGUGACGAAGCAAGCGACGGUACCUGACGAAUAAGCCACGGCUAACUACGUGCCAGCAGCCGCGGUAAUACGUAGGGGGCAAGCGUUAUCCGGAUUUACUGGGUGUAAAGGGCGUGUAGGCGGGACUGCAAGUCAGAUGUGAAAACCACGGGCUCAACCUGUGGCCUGCAUUUGAAACUGUAGUUCUUGAGUGCUGGAGAGGCAGACGGAAUUCCUAGUGUAGCGGUGAAAUGCAUAGAUAUUAGGAGGAACACCAGUGGCGAAGGCGGUCUGCUGGACAGCAACUGACGCUGAGGCGCGAAAGCGUGGGGAGCAAACAGGAUUAGAUACCCCUGUAGUC
rnacentral:rRNA from 1 species